UACGUAGGGGGCAAGCGUUGUCCGGAAUUACUGGGCGUAAAGGGCGUGUAGGCGGCCGAGCAAGUCAAGUGUGAAAAGCCCCGGCUUAACCGAGGCAUUGCACAUGAAACUGCUUGGCUUGAGUGCAGGAGAGGGAAGUGGAAUUCCUAGUGUAGCGGUGAAAUGCGUAGAUAUUAGGAGGAACACCAGUGGCGAAGGCGACUUCCUGGACUGUAACUGACGCUGAGGCGCGAAAGCGUGGGUAGCAAACAGGAUUAGAUACCCUGGUAGUCCACGCCGUAAACGAUGGGUACUAGGUGUGGGUAGUUCACUCUAUCCGUGCCGCAGCAAACGCAAUAAGUACCCCGCCUGGGGAGUACGGCCGCAAGGUUGAAACUCAAAGGAAUUGACGGGGGCCCGCACAAGCAGCGGAGCAUGUGGUUUAAUUCGAAGCAACGCGAAGAACCUUACCAGGGCUUGACAUGGCCAUGACGUAUCUGGAGACAGGUAUUUCCUUCGGGACAUGGUCACAGGUGGUGCAUGGUU
rnacentral:rRNA from 1 species